GAUGAACGCUGGCGGCGUGCUUAACACAUGCAAGUCGAACGAAGCACUUUAUUUGAUUUCCUUCGGGACUGAUUAUUUUGUGACUGAGUGGCGGACGGGUGAGUAACCCGUGGGUAACCUGCCUUGUACAGGGGGAUAACAGUUGGAAACGGCUGCUAAUACCGCAUAAGCGCACAGCAUCGCAUGAUGCAGUGUGAAAAACUCCGGUGGUAUAAGAUGGACCCGCGUUGGAUUAGCUAGUUGGUGAGGUAACGGCCCACCAAGGCGACGAUCCAUAGCCGACCUGAGAGGGUGACCGGCCACAUUGGGACUGAGACACGGCCCAAACUCCUACGGGAGGCAGCAGUGGGGAAUAUUGCACAAUGGGCGAAAGCCUGAUGCAGCGACGCCGCGUGAGCGAAGAAGUAUUUCGGUAUGUAAAGCUCUAUCAGCAGGGAAGAUAAUGACGGUACCUGACUAAGAAGCACCGGCUAAAUACGUG
rnacentral:rRNA from 1 species